AGCUUCUUGAGGUAUUAAUAAAUAGGAAAUUGUAUGUUUGAGUUUUGAAGGCAUUACCUGUACUUAGUUACUUGAAAAUUUUGUGUGUUCUGUUGUUUCUUUUAUUUUAAGGAAUCCAAAUACACCUAGUAUCUGGACAAAGGAGCAAGUUGAAGCAUGGAAACCGAUUGUAGAUGCUGUUCAUGCCAAAGGUGGGAUCUUCUUUUGUCAGAUUCGGCACGUUGGCAGGGUUUCAAAUCGAGGUGUGUUCUAUAUCCCUCUCUUCUAUUGACAGUUACUGGUUACUUAUUAUCAGGAUCAUACAUAAUUUUUUGUUUCUGACAAUAAGACAAGGUAGCGUGGGCUUAAGCUAUUGAAUUGCAGUAACUUGCAGUAAUCUAACAUGAGGCAAGUGUUGAGAGAAUAAGCAGCUCGGAUUAAUCGAAUGCUCAAAUUGAGUACUGAUCAUCCUACAGAUGCACCAUCCAUUUGCAUUUUAUUUUCAGUUAAUGAAACGGUAUUCAAUAGUUUUUUUACAAACUGCUUUUGAUGCAUCCGACUGAUUUUAAAGAAAAGCAUGAGGGCCGGGCUAGGCCGAGUUUUUAUUUAUUUUUAUUUUUAAAAAAAAUUAUUGUCCAUUUGAAAUGAGCUAAUAAUUAAUAAGUUGUUAUAAUCAUAAAUUAAUUAAAGAAAAUAAAUAUUUCAAGUAAAAUAAUAAAUAAAACAAACUAAAGGUUAGAAAUUUAAUUUUUUUAAUACUGAAUUCUCGAAUUCAAGCUCUCUUAAUUAAUUAACGUAUAAUAGAGAGUUUAGUAUUAUAAUUUUAACUUUUUUGAAUCAUCAUUGAUUUAUAAAUUAAGAAUUUAAGUUUUCCUUUUUUAUUUUGAUGUUAUUUUUCCAAUUUUAAAUAUAUUAUUCUAAUUUAUAAAUUUAUUUUUUUAAAAAAUAAUGGGUCUGAAUCUAACUCGAUCUUUUUUUCUCGAGCCCCUGUCCAAGGGUCGGGCUAGCCCGGACUUUUUUGCCCACCCUCCUUCAUUGGUUUUUCCUAUUGUCGUUCUGUACAGAUUAUCAGCCAAAUGGUCAAGCUCCAAUCUCCAGUACAGACAAGCCAUUGACACCUCAAAUCCGCGCUAAUGGUGUUGAUGUUGCACAAUUCCCUCCUCCAAGGCGGCUAAGGACAGGUGAAAUCCCUCAAAUUGUAAAUGAUUUCAGGCUUGCUGCAAGAAACGCAAUUGAGGCUGGUAAAUUCUUUUUUCUUAAAUUAAAACUUGAAUUGUGGGCAAUAAAUGUUUUAAGCUCGCCACAGGAUGGGUGAUAUUUCACUGGUCUACUUUUCUUGAGAUUAAGGAAAAUAUGUAUAAACGAAUAGUGAGAUUCUUCCAUUCCAUUAAUGGCUAUCAGAAGGAAAGGAAAACUAAACAUGAAUGCAUUAAUAGAUUUUUACUAGCCUUUUGUGGUUUGUAAAUAAUGUUGUUUUAUUGUACCGUAAGGUUUAUGUGAAAGCAGUUAAGUUUCUUUACAAUUAUGUCUAUUGUCCCAUAGUUGUAUUUAUCAUAUUGAUUAAAGAAUUUGAAAACUUAACACCUUACCUACAUGUGUCAUUAAUGUAAAUGGAGUCAUUACAAUAGUCGAUUAUUUGGAAUGGGUUCUAGAAUCUUACAUGUGACUCCUUUUGUCAUCUAAAAUGAUGGUUGAGACUUUGUUUUUUAUGAUCUUAUCAACUGUUUUGUUGUUAGUUAAAGUAGGGAUUGAGUACCUGCAACUCUGAGUAGUUUUGUAGCUUUGUGCCUGCAUCUCUGAGACAUCACAAAACUGCCUUGGAUUAACUUUGAGAGCCAACCUAGUAAAUGCUUAAAUACUUUUUCUUCUUCUUAAAAUGAAUGCUUGACCCUCAGUCUGUCUGUCCGCACAAUGCGAGCCUCAGAGCUUUUAGUUAUAUGAGAAGAGUUAGAUAAAUGAAGUGUUCGUGCUGCACAGGUUUUUGGAUUCUAACUUUGUCUUAUGCUGUAUAGGCUUCGAUGGCGUUGAGCUCCAUGGUGCACAUGGCUACCUAAUUGACCAAUUUUUGAAGGAUCAAGUGAAUGAUCGAACAGACCAGUAUGGAGGAUCCUUAGAGAACCGUUGCCGUUUUGCUUUAGAAAUAGUUGAAGCUGUUUCCAAUGAAAUAGGGGCAGAUAGGGUUGGGAUAAGACUAUCUCCGUUUGCAAACUAUAUGGAAUCAGGCGACUCUAACCCGGAAGCUUUAGGUCUUUACAUGGCAGAAUCCUUGAACAAAUAUGGUAUCCUCUAUUGUCACAUGGUUGAGCCGAGGAUGAAAACAGUUGGAGAAAAAUCUGAAUGUCCUCACAGUUUGCUGCCCAUGAGAAAGGCUUUCAAGGGUACUUUUCUUGUCGCUGGGGGUUAUGACAGGGAAGAUGGAAACAAAGCUAUUGCUGAAGGCCGUGCAGAUCUUGUUGUUUAUGGUCGCUUGUUCUUGGCUAAUCCAGAUUUACCCAGGAGAUUUGAGCUCAAUGCUCCCCUCAAUAAGUACAACAGAGAAACAUUCUACACAUCCGAUCCUGUUGUUGGUUACACAGAUUAUCCAUUUCUCAACACCUCUUCUUUGGUUACCAAGAAAAAUGAUUAGACUGAUAAAGCAUUAUCUCGGAUUUAAUCCUGUUUUCUGAAUGUUUAUAGAUGUACUGUGUUUAUGUAAAAGCCAAUAUAGGUUAUCUCAAUAAAAUUGUAUAUGCGUUAAGGCCAAGGGCUAUACCUAUACGUUUACAUACACUUCCUCUCUCAUUCCAAUUGAGACUGCAAUUCUCAAAAAUCAGAAGGAUAAAAGAAAGACGAAGCAUUGUGGUAUCAAACUCAAAACCAUCCUUUCGUCUCAUAAAUUGGAAAACGAAUUAACAUGGAGCAAUUCAUCACCAGCAUGUUUGAAUACAUACUUCGCUUUCCCUUCAGUUAAUUUCAAAAUACUUACACUACUCCAAAUUGACAAAACAUAAAACAGGUCUUCACACGUGUGCAUACGGGCUUGGCCCAUUUCUCAGCCAUUUGAUGAAAACUAAAUAUAUAUAUUAUUUUGGAUUAAAAAUCAGUUAGUAGAAUUGAUUUGAAUUGGUCAAGGUUCGUAUCUAAAAUAAAAUAUUUAAUCUAAAACUAUAAAAGAGUAAAACUAAACCUAAUUGUAUUCGAUUAACACCACACAUGUACAGAAUAACAAUGACACAUAUACUCUUUCUUCUAUAGUAUUUUUUCUCUGAAAAGGUACUAGAAUGAAAGGAGACUGAAGCCUAUUUUGGCUUUUUCAUUCGCUCACCAGUUGGGUGUUCUUUUACAAUUUUCCAUAGUACUUCUCAAAGGAAUUUGGGUGAUUAACUCCUUCUUUUAGCUUUUAUUUGCGGAUAAUAGAAGGUAGGUGAGCUAAGUUAUUGCUGGAUUCACAGCUAAGUAUGGAUACUGAGGAUUUAUUGCGCAAGUGUCAGGCUGUCGUUCUAAAAGAAGAAGAAGCAGACAUAGUAGCAUUCAUGGGGCAAAUGAGGAUUAAGGGAGAAGAAGUUACUGCGAAUUGUCUAGUAGGGAAGGUGUUGCUUUCACGAAGCAUAAACAGGGAAGGCUUGAAAGCAGCUAUGCAAACAGCUUGGAGAACAGUGAAAGAGGUAAAAAUUGAAAGCAUGGGGGAUAAUAAUUUUCUCUUCAAGUUUGCUUCAGAAUAAGAAAAGAAAAGAGUGCUUAUGGGAGGGCCAUGGCAUUUUGAUAGAGCACUGAUAGUUUUGAUCGAACCAUCCGACAUUGGUGAUAUCAGAAAUCAAUCCUUUACGCAUACAACAUUUUGGGUACAGAUCCAUAAUACACCCAUAAUGUGCAUGAACAAUGAGGUAAUUCAAAAACUGGGUGAAAAGAUUAGUGAGGUCAAGGAAAUAAAGACAGACGAAGCCGGAUAUUGCAUAGGACAGUUUGCUCGAGUAAGAAUCUCCCUUGACAUUACUCAGCCAUUAAAAAAGAUUGUGUUUUUACAACAAGAUGAAGGAAAAAUUCCAAUGCCAAUCCAUUAUGAAAAGCUACCAGACUUUUGCUUUUGUUGCGUGCAUGUAGGUCAUCAGUACAAAGAGUGCCUGAGGUACAAAGGACAACAAAAGGAGGAUCUGCCUUACGGGGGAUGGAUGAGAGUAGUCACUUAGGCUGAAAGGGUAAAACAAAAUCGAAGUAAAGAGAAAGGCAAUCGAGAACAAUUCCAUUCCAGAGCAAAUGAUUCAGCAACAACUAGCCUAAGGCCAUACCAGUCUCAAAACAACUCGGAUAGUCAAAAUGGGUCUUACCUGAUCAAAUCGGGUUCGGCGAUAGAUAAUGGUGAUGAACCAGUGGGUAAAAGCAAGGAACUAAGAGCUGAUGGGCAACAUCUAAUGUUGAGUGUAACAGAGCAGGAAAACCAGCAAGUGGUGCAUUAAAGCAGGAUGGUGACAUCAACAAGUUGCAGGACAGAGUGGCUAGUAAUGAUAGCCAAUCUAGAUAUGAACGCAAAAAAGGCGGAAAAGAAGGAUUGGAGGGAAAAUGAAAAUCUUGUAGAAAAAGACAAUGUGGGGAACACGGAAAAUAAAAUGAAGGAGGACACGGGGGGUGCCAAAUUAGAUGAAGAGGAUUUGGAUAAUGGGCCUAGCAAGGCCACCGUGAAAUCCAAAGGAAGAAAAUGGACAUUGCGGGCAAGAAACACCAAAGGAGAAGGAGCAAAUAAUAUUAAUUUCAUAGGAAGUAAAAGACACAACAGUGAAGGCCAUGGGCCUAGCCCAAAGAGCAGAAAGAAGUGAGUGUCCAGUCCAGAAAAGCAACCAUAGGAAGGAAAACACAUAAGCCUAGCAAAAGCAUUAGGCAACUGCAACCAUUUUAGCCCCAACAAAGUAGUUCGCUAGCUGAAACAAGCAGAAGAAGUGCUAGAUGUUGGAUAAAACUUGGAAGUAAUGGAUGAAGACCUAUCAUCAGCACCCGCCGACAACUAUGAAGAUCCUCAGCUGGAACGUUCGAGGUCUGGGGAAGUCUUGAACGCACUUAGCAAUUAGAAAAGUUCUCUACCUGCACCGGCCCCAAAUACUAUUUUGUUGUGAAACUAAGAUGAUGGCUAGGCAUGUCAAUUUAAUUUACAGAAGUUUUAAUUUUGCAAAUUGUUUUGCCGUGGACAGAAAUGGUUUGGGUGAAGGCCUAGCUAUGCUCUGGGGAGCAGACGUUAAUGUCAAUAUCACCUCAUACAGGCCCCACCAUAUAGAUGCAAUAGUGAGUAGUGAAAGUGACUUGGUUUGGAGAUGUACGGGGAUUUAUGGCCACCCAAAGCUCAGCUAGAAGCACAACACAUGGACCAUUCUAAAAAGGUUAGCUAAUCUUUCUUCCCACCCUUGGUGUUGCUUUGGGGAUUUCAAUGAAGUGAUGCAUAUGUAUGAGAAAAAUGGGGGCAACGAGAAGAAUGUAAAUGUGGUUGUCGAGUUUAGAGAGGUUGUGGGCUGCAAGAGGUACCCGUAUACAUGGUCUAACAAGAGAUUUGGUGUUAAUUACAUAGAAGAAUGGCUGGACAGAUUCUUGUGUAGUAAGGAUUGGGGCAACAAAUUUCAAGAAUCUACAGCCACAAACCUUGUUAAUUGGGUCUCAAAUCACUGCCCAAUAGUCUUAGAAUUCAAAUAGAGAUGCAAGAAGUCGAGGACUGUGAGCAGAUCGUUUCCCCGUGAGCACUAUGAGGAAAUGUGGAGUUCUUACGAAGACUGUAGGAGCAUAGUAAGGGAUGAAUGGGGAAACUAUGGGGCUAGAGCUUGGGAGGAUCCUGCUCACCAAUUUCAGCGGAUAGCAAAAACUUUUUAGCUCAACUUAGGCUCUGGAGUAAAAACGAAUUUGAAGGAAGACAAAUAAAACAAGAAAAGUUGUUUCAGAGCCUUCAGAAUGCUAUGCAAGGAAGCUCUAAGCUGACUGAUGGAGAGGAGAUCAGGAAGAUUGAAAGCCAUAUCAAUUUCAUGCUUAUUGACGAGGAGAUCUAUUGGAAGCAACGAUCGGGGGCUGACUGGCUAAGAGAAUGAGACAAAAACACUAAGUUUUUCCAUGCCAAAGCUUUUGCCCGUAAAAGAAAGAAUAAGGUGCGGGGGGUAGAAAACUCUAAAGGCGUCUGGCUAAGGGAGAGAGAUGAUAUAGAAAAAGGAAUUCUGCGGUUACUUCCAAGAACUCUUCACUACAUCCAGCCCAACUCCAAGCCAAAUUCAAGCUGCUCUUCAAAGAAUGCCGGCAAAAGUAACAUCAUAAAUGAAUGUCCAGCGGGAGAAGCCCUUCACUCCAAAGGAUAUAGAGGAGGCUCUAGGAUAGAUGUGCCCCACAAAAGCCCCAGGUCCAGGUGGCUUAACUGUUGUAUUUUUUCAGAAGCAUUGGAAAUUAAUUCGCAAUGGAGUUGUUACAACAUGUCUUCAUAUCCUUAAUGAGCAAGGUAACCCGUCUCCUCUUAACUAUACUUUUAUCGCAUUGAUCCCAAAAAUUGCUAAGCCUAGGAGAGUCUUUGAUUACAGGCCCAUAAGCCUUUAUAAUGUAAUUUAUAGAGUCGUAGCUAAGGCAAUUGCAAAUAGAAUGAAACUAAUCCUCUCCCAAAUCAUUUCUCCAAUGCAGAGUGCAUUGAUUCAAACCCAAUUUUGCCCACCCCUAUUCAAUAUUGAUGCAAUUGCAUUGUUGUGAUUCUUACGCAACACUUGUCGAACUACAUCAUUAUAUACAAUGUUAUGAACUACUUGGGUUAUAUUGGAAGAAAUAUGAACAUGUGGAAAAAUCAGCAACCGCUGUCAUAAGUAUCCUAUUUUGGUAACCAGUACAAUAGAAUCACUUGCAAUCCAUUCUGCAGUUUCCCUAUUUUGGCAUAAAUUUCCCUACCAACAGUCAGGGAUGUCCACACAAGCUUGGGAAAAUUCUAUUGGCAAAGAGUGUCCACACGGAUGUGAUCAAAACUGCAUUAACACAAGCAUGGAAAACAACAAAAGAGGUGAAGAUUGAGAGCAUGAGAAACAAUAUUUUUCGGUUCAAAUUUGGGUUAGAAGUUGAUAAACAGAAAAUAAUGGCAGGAGAGCCAUGUCAUUUCGAUAAGGCUCUGAUUGUGUUGAAAGAACCCAGUGGAAUAGGAAACAUGAGAAAGGAAGAAUUCACGCAUACACGUUUUUUGGUACAAAUUCACAAUAUACCCAUAGUUUGCAUAGAGAGGGACAAUGUUCAAAAGCUGGGAGGACUGAUUAGAGAGGUGUUAGAAGUUGAAACUGUGAUGACGGGGAGUGUAUUCGUUUGUAUGCAAGAGUCAGAAUAUCCAUUGAUAUCACAAAGCCAUUACAGAAAAUGGUUGGAGCUAGAAGAAGAUGAUAAGGUGGAGUUGCCAGUAUUGUAUGAAUGGCUCCCAGAUUUCUGCUUUUGCUGUGGUACCAUUUGGUACCAAUUUAAAGAGUGUGAAUCAUACAUGGGGCAACAAAAAAAAAAAAAAAAAACUGCCCUAUGGAGUGUACAUGAAGGCAUUUUCCAAAGUUGAAAAAACUAGGCUGAAUAGGGGAAAAGAUAGAUGGAAUAGAAGGUUUGAGCAGCUCAAUAACGAACCAAAAGAAGCAGAACACCAUGGGAGAAGGCAGGCAAAACAAAUUGGUUUAGACCCGUAUAAAUAUGAACCCGAGUCAAACCAAUCUAAUUUGGGAGAUCAUGAUAGUUAAACAAGGAAGAUUAGGGAGUACUUAAUGCAAAUGACUCUAGAACCAAGAAAUCCGAAAGACACGGUCAAAAGUAACCUAACAUGGCUGAUACCGAAAAUACAACCGACAACUUAAACAAUCAUGGAAAAAAAAGAGAAAAAGUGGGAACGGAGAAUUGGGAGGGAAUAAAGUUAAAUUUGGCGCUAAAUUUGGAGCCAAAAUUAACUCUAAAUACAAGUCCAAAAAAAUAUCAAAGCAACUCAAGCCCAAAAAAAGUAGUAUGUGAUGGACCGAAAACAAAAAAAAUGUUAGGCCUAAGAGAAAGAAGUGAAAGCUGUAAGCUAGCAGUGUAUGUAGCAAAGGACACACAAAAGAAAGGCUAAUUGUGGGAAAAAGACUAGGUUGUGGAGUAAUAAGGUCAAGCCCAAAUUAUAAAAAAAAAAACCCAGAUCCUAAGCCCACAAAAAAAACUCAGUAGCUAGAGAAAGCUCCUGCAAUACAUCUCCUCUUAGCUAUAAGCUCAACUGGGUUGUUUCAAGAAUGGAGAAAAUGUUAAAAACAUAAACAAUGCAACUCAAUCGGCGGAGGCAGAACAUCAACCUUGCCGACAGCUAUGAGGAUUCUAAGCUGGAACGUCCGGGGGAUGGGGAAUGAGCGGACGCUCAUAGCUCUCCAAAAAUUCCUCACAUUGUAUAGGCCUCAAUUAAUGUUUCUAUGUGAAACUAAAUUGACAUCUGUACACAUGGAAAAUGUUGGCAAGAAGCUGAAGUUUGAAAAUUAUUUUUGGGUUAGUAGAGGUGGUAAGAAUGGGGGUCUAGCUAUGCUUUGGAAUUCCGAAACAAGGGUAGAUAUCACCUCUUUCAACAAACACUGCAUAGAUAUUGAGGUAGAACUGAAAGUGGGAAGCAGAUGAGAUGCACUAGAAUCUACGGGCACUUAGAAACGAGUUAGAAAAAACACACCUGGACUUUAUUAAGGAGAUUAACAUGUUAUCUUCACCCCCUUAGUUAUGCUUUGGCAAUUUCAAUGAGAUAAUGCACUUAGAUGAAAAAAAAAUAGAGGAAAAGACAGGGAGGUUUAUAUGAUUAGAGAGUUUCGAGAUGAUGUUCAGGAUUACAAUUUGAAAGAUUUGGGUUAUACAAGCCACCCUUUUACAUAGUCUAAUAGGAGAUUUGGUAGCCACUUUGUUGAAGAACGUCUAGAUAGAUUUUUAUGUAGUAAUGAUUGGACAAAUUCUUUCCAAAACCAAGCUGCAAAAAAAUCUGAUUAUAUGGUGCUCAGACCACAAUUCGAUUUUGAUGGAAGUGAUAAGCAGAGCCAAUAGAAAGCCAUAUAAUAAAAGAACCUUUUCAAGAACCCAUUAUGAAGACAUGUGGAGCAACUAUGAUGAGUGUAAGAACAUUGUAAAGGAAGAAUCAGCCAAAGACUGGUAAGGGGAUAAUGCAAUGCAGUUUUUUAAACAAGCCAGUAAAUCUUCACUAACUGAAUUAAUACACUGGAGUAAGAAAACUUUUAAAGGAAGCAAGAAGAAAUUAGAGAAGCUGAUGAAUAAAAUAUAAGAGCUCCAGUAGGAAAGACAGUGGGAUAGGGGUGAAGAAUUGAUAAGCAUUGAGAGGCGGAUCCAUAACCUCCUUUUAGAUGAAGAGAUCUUUUGGAAACAGAGAGAGGUUUAGGGCUGAUUGAUUAAGGGAGGGAGAUAAAAACACCAAAUUCUUCCACUCAAAAGCUUCAUUUAAAAAAGAGGAAGAACAAAAUUCGAGGAGUUGAAGAUGCAUAGGGAAAAUGGGUAGAAGAAAAUAAAGAUAUUGAGAAAGAGUUCUGCGGUUACUUUGCAGAGUUAUUUUCAACUUCCAACCCUACUUAAGAUCAAAUAGAGUGUGCUUUGAAAGAAAUGGUCUCAAAAGUUUCAGCUUAAAUGAAUGAGUAUCUGACUCAACCAUAUACAGAGGAAGAGAUAAUGGAGGCUCUAAAUCAAAUGUGUCUAACCAAGACACUAGGCCCUGAUGGGCUACCGGCUGCCUUUUAUUGGAAGCACUGACCAUUAGUUAACAUCACCACAUGUCUUCACAUCCUCAAUGAAGCAGGUAACGUUGCUCUUUUGAACCACACAUACAUUGCUUUAAUUGCCAAUAAUGCAAAGCUUAGGAAAGUGACUGAAUUUAGACCAAUAAGUCUUUGUAAUUUCAUUUAUAGGAUUGUUGUAAAACUAUUGCAAAUAGAUUGAAAACUAUCCUACAUGUUGUAAUUGAUUCUUCGUGGAGUGCUUUUAUCCCCAACAGAUUGAUAAUGGAUAAUAUCAUUGUUGGGUAUGAAUGCCACCAUAAGAUUAGGCAUAACAAAGGAAAAAAAAAAAAGGCUUGGUGGCUCUGAAGUUAGAUAUCAGCAAAGCUUACGAUAGGGCAUAAUGGGAUUUUUUAAAGCAGAGAAUGAUUAGAUUAGGUUUUGCUAAGAAGUUGAUAAAUUUAAUUAUGAAUUGCAUUACUACGUCAUACUUUUCUAUAAUCAUAAAUGGAAUACCAAAGGGCAAGAUUAUUCCUAAAAGGGGCUUGAGGCAGGGAUGCCCUUUAUCUCCUUAUCUGUUUAUAAUAUGUGCAGAUGCUCUUUCAAAUUUGUUAAUUUAGGCUGAGAGAAGCAAGUUAAUACAUGGGUUGAAAUUUGGACAGCAUAUCUCUAUUUCUCACCUCUUAUUUGCAUAUGAUAGCCUAAUUUUUUUUUCCAAAGCCUCAAUUAAAGAUUUCCAACAUCUAAAAGGUUUGUUCGAUUGCUAUGCCACUGCCUCUGGCCAAAUUUUUAAUUUUGAAAAGUCAUGCAUGUUCUUCAGCGGCAAUGUCUAUGCAAACCAAAUUUAAGCCAUUAAAAGAAUAUUUCAGCUCAAUGUGGUAACAAAGCAUGAGAAGUACUUGAGGAUGCCCUCAAUGAUAAGGAGGAAAAAGAAAAAUUUCUUCAAUAAGAUUAAGUUAAAAGUCCAGAGCAAGAUCUCUAGUUGGCAACAGAAACUUUUCUCGAGUUGAGGAAAAGAUGUCUUGAUGAAAGUAGUCGCACAACCAGCUUAUGUAAUGAGUGUCUUCAAGAUACCUAGUGGCCUGUGUGAUGAUAUUUAGUGAGCAAUAAAAAGAAGGAAAAAAAGGGGCAUCGUUUGGAUAAGAGGGGAGAAGAUGAGUCAAGCUAAAAUUUGAGGGGGAAUGGGCUUUAGAGACAUAUCAAGUUUUAACCAAGUCAUGGUAGUUAAGCGAGGAUAGAGAUUGAUUCAAAAUCCAGAUUCCCUUGCAACUACUGUCUUAAAGGCUAGGUAUUUUCAAGAAGAUUGAUUUUUUAAAUGCUUCAAUGGGGUCAAACCCAUCUUAUAUUUAGAUAAGCUUACUUUGGGGUCGACAAGUAAUUCUUAAUGGAUAUAGAUAGAGAAUUGGUAAUGGGUAAAACAUCUUAGCCUACAAAGGAAAUUGGAUUCCAAGACCAUCCACUUUCAAACCGUUUCCUAGUCCAAGGAUGCCUUUCGAUGCUAUUGUUUCAGAGUUGAUAGACAAUGAAAGCAUAUGGAAGACUGACUUGAUCCAAAAGAUGUUUUUAAAGGAAGAUGUAGAUGCAAUUCUCAGCAUUCCUUCGCCAAAAGGACGAAGCAAAGACCAAGCCAUCUGGCAUUAUGACAAAAGAGGGAAAUACUCAGUCAAGAGUGGAUACCAAGUGGCUAUAAAUAUGAAAUUUUUUGAAUUCACCAAAUUGCUCCAACAGUAAAGGUAGAAAUUGGAAUAUCAUAUAGACCCUUACCAUCCCAAAAAAGAUCAAGAUUUUCAUUUGGAAAGGAGUUAAAAAAUUACUACCGACAGCUGAGAAUUUGUGGAAGCGUAGAAUUAUUCAGGAAGGUCACAGCAAGCAUUGUAGAAAUAGAGUGGAAAAUACUAUGCAUGCCCUAGUCACUUGCAAAGCAGCAAGAAAGGUUUGGCAGCUUUCAUCAAUGGUGAAUGCAAUUCAACAGAUGAGAAAUGCAAACCUCUUGGGGGAUUUGAUGAUGCUUCAUAAGAAAUUAAGUAAAGUUGAACUUGAGCUUGUGGUGUCAAUGUGGUGGGUGAUUUGGCAUGCUCAGAAUAAAUUUGUAUUUGAAGGUGUAAAGUUGGAUCAAGGAUUGCAAAUGGCCAAAGAUGAAACAGUCAAUGAAGUUUUUAGGAGAACAAAAUUUCCAGAGAUGUUGAAUCUGGGAAAAAUGCAGAAGGAAAAACCAAAAUCCUCGACCCCUCCACCCGAUGGAUGGCUAAAGAUAAAUGUUGAUGCAACUACUAACACCAAAAGACAAUGCUCGGGAUUGGGAGCAAUAAUCAGAGACUCCACUGGAAAGUGCUUAGUUGCAGCUAUAAAAACCUCAAGGUUUGGGAGAGAUGUAACAUAUGUGGAAGUAGAAGCAACUGAGUAGGGCAUUAAAAUAGCACAGGAAGCAGGUCUACAGUCAGUUAUCCUAGAAACUGAUUCUCAUGAAGUACCAGAAUUGAUAAACAAUAGAGAAGGCAGCCUAACAGAAAUAUAUUUGGUCAUUGCGGAAAUUCAAGAUUUAAAAAAGAAUUUCAAAGCCUUUAAAGCACAAUAUGUCCCUAGAUCAUUUAAUGAGUGUGCCCAAUCUUUGACUAAGAUGGCUAUUGAAAAAUUUAAAUCUGUUGUUUGGGUGGAGAAUUUUCCUCCUGAAAUUUUGUAAGUUUUCACUUUGUUGAAUUAAUGAAAGUUUUACUUUCCCAUAAAAAAAAACAGGUAAAACCACGAAUUCUACUGUAUGUGAAGAUUGCCAUAUAUGAAAUUUUUAUAAAAAAAUGAAUCUUAUUUUCGAUGUGAAGAUUAUCAAAUAUAGAAUUUUUAUUAAGAAAAAAUUCUUAAUUUUUGGAUAAUUAUUAAUGGGAGUAAUAAUAUGGAGAUAUCUAAAAAUUAGACUUCCUUAUAUAUGCAACUUAAAUAACAUCUUUGAAAUGUUAGAAGAAUAAUUAUUCAUUAGUGUUUUAAUCAAAUAAAUUUCAAAUAUAGGGGUCUUUCUAAAAAUUGGAGCAUCAUUUAGUUAACUUAAUACUAAAGCCGCUCUUGAAUCUGUUAUGGAAGCCAUGCUAAAUUUCAAGGGUUUAAGAUUCUUAGAAAAGGCUAUGCUGAUCUCAAAUGGUACAAACAGGAACUUCCUAAUGUGAAUUGAAUGGACAAUCAAUCCUCUGAUUGCUAGUAGUUUAAGAUCCUCAUGUUAAUUGUUCCAUAUCUUGAUCUCAUUGAGUUUACUAAGACCAACUAACUCGAGACCUUUAACCAUCUCCAAUAUCUGAGACUUAUAACCUCAAUCACAAACACCUAGCAAUUAAAUUUUUAAUAACAUGAUCAUCCGCUUCAACUGACGACAAAUAUAAUUGUUUCAAAGAAGGUAACAUCAUGUUUGUUGGUAACCCAAGCUUACAGCCAUUUAACACUAAGGUAAGACAUGUUUGGGAUUGAGGUAUUGUACCUUUUAAGUUACACCUUCUGUGCAAAAAAAUAAGCUAUAAGUAUGAAAGUACUUUUUUUUCCUCUGGAAAGAUUAACAAAAUAAAGAAUUAAUUGGUAAAACUAUGAAUUCUACUGUAUGUGAAGAUUGUCAUAUAUGAAAUUUUUACAAAGAAACGAAUUUUAUUUUCGAGGUGAAAAUUAUCAAAUAUAGAUUUUUACUAAGAAAAAAAUCUUAAUUUCUGGAUAGGGAAAUUCGUUUUUUUCAAUUUUUUCAAAAAUACCCAAUUCUUUUUUUUUUUUUUUGCUGGAAUCCACCUGAAUUUAUAUUUCUUUUCACUCGUCCACUUCCGUUUGGAGACUGUUAAGAAAACUAACGGAAUAUUGUAUAAAUAAUUUUUUUACCCUCAAAUGUAAAACAUAAAUUAUCCACCGACCACUUUUUUUUCGUAUUGUUUCAAAAAUACACAAUUCUUAAUUUUUUGUUUGCUUAACCCUACUUGAAGUUAUAUUGGUUUGCAUUUGUCCACCACCAUGUUGUUGUGAAAUGAUAAUUUUACCCUUAUGAUGUUAGCAAAGUUCUAACGGUGUUAUAACGAAAGUGGACCAAUGAAAAAAAAUAUUAACUUCAAGUGGAGCGCUGUAAAAAAAAAAAAAAGAUUUGCGUAUUUUUAAAAAAUGGUGAAAAAACGGAUGGACGGUGGAUAAUUUCCCUUCUGGAUAAUUAUGAAUGAGAAUAAUAAUAGGGAGAUAUCUAAAAAUUAGGCUUUCUUAUAUAUGCAACUUAAAUAACAUCUUUAACUAUUAACUUUUAAAAAUUAUUUUUAAAUUUCUCAACAAUAAUUCCAAACAGCCCUUAGAAUCUCAUUAUUAAAAAUAAAAGCAUAUUGGUUAGCUGUUCAAAGACAGGCAACAGCAGCCGGCUACGUACUUGCAAACGUCACGUGCCAGCGAUUAAAAGCAUUUUAAACAUAUGUGAACAUUGAAUCCAAUGGCAAUGGAGACUGACUCGACCCUCGUGGAAUUUUUUUAUAUUCCAAAACGGUCGACCCAUUCCGAUCUAUAAAUACCCAAUUGAACCCUUCCGUUUCUUUAAUCAUUUUAUUUUCAGUCGCGUUAAGGAUUCUCAAUUUGCUUGUAAUUCUACUAAACAUGGGAAGCAGAGCAGAGGAGACUAAGCAAAAUCAAGAAGAGAACAACGGUAACAUGGCCAUUGAAACUCCCAUCAUCCCUCUUCUCACUCCUUACAAUAUGGGCAGUCUCAAUCUUUCUGAUAGGUACCGAUUGUACCCACCUUUUAUUUCAUUGAGUUUUUUAUUUUUAUUUUUUUGGAUUUACAUUUUCUUUCGCUGUAUGGAUUUUUGUAUGGCGUUAACUUUAUUGACGAAAGUGAUAUCUGCCAAAGUACAUUUGAGUGGCGAGCAUUCACAUCAUGAGCACUCAGAUUCUCACUGUUUAUCCAGGGCUCAGCGCAAACGCAGUGGACCACUGAAUCCUUGUCCAUUUAGAAUGAAUGGAUUAGUGAAUAUUUGGAAUGGAUUAGGAAAUAUUUGGGAUUUAGUUACUGUGGUUUUUAAUUCACAGUCUCUAUGUGGAGUGAAUCAGUAGCUAUCGAGUAAAACUGUUGGUGUUUACGGAACACUUUUUAACUGUCCUAUUUUGGUAAUUAAGCAGAAGCACGCCCGGUUAUUAACUUAUAAUACCCUUAACUGAUUAGAAUGUAUGAUCUGAUUUAGUUUCUGUAUCUUCUUUGUAUUUGUUCGUUUGGUCUAUGAUCUGACUGAGAGUUUUACAGAGGCAGUUUAAGUGUAAUGUUGCAAUUUUAUGGGUUUUUUUCUUUUGAGUUUGAGUUAUUGGUGAUGGGGCUAAUUGAAUUGCGGCUUGCUUGUUUUGUUUAUUUCAGAGUUGUUUUGGCACCACUGACUAGACAGAGAUCAUACAACAAUGUUCCUCAGCCACAUGCCAUUUUGUAUUACUCUCAAAGAACCACCAAAGGGGGUUUGCUUAUAGCCGAAGCCACUGGAGUUUCCGACACUGCUCAAGGGUAAUUUUACAUCCGUUUAACUGUUUUAAGAGUUUUUUGAGGCAUUAAAUAGAUAGGAAAUUGUAUGUUUGAGUUUCGAAAGCAUUACCUGUAUUUAGUUGCUUGAAAAUCUUGUGUGUUCUGUUAUUUCUUUUAUUGUAAGGUAUCCAGAUACGCCUGGUAUCUGGACAAAGGAGCAAGUUGAAGCAUGGAAACCAAUUGUAGAUGCUGUUCAUGCCAAAGGUGGGACCUUCUUUUGUCAGAUUUGGCACGUUGGCAGGGUUUCAAAUCAAGGUGUGUUCUAUAUCUCUCUCUUCUAUUGACAGUUACUGGUUACUUAGUUAUCAGGAUCAUACAUACAUUUUAUUUCUGACAAUAAGAUAAGGUACCGUGAGCUUAAGCUAUUGAAUUGCAGUAAUCUAAUAUGAGGCAAGUGUUGAGAGAAUAAGCAGCUCGGAUUAAUCAAAUGCUCAAAUUGAGUACUGAUCAUCCUACAGAUGCACCAUCCUUUUGCAUUUUAUUUUCAGUUAAUAAAAUGACAUUCAAUAGUUUUUUUAAAACCUCCAUGUGAUGGAUCUGACUGAUUUUAUAGAAAUUUGAGAAUCAUUUCAACUGGAUCUUCAUUGGUUUUUCCUGUCUUCGAACUGUACAGAUUAUCAGCCAAAUGGUCAAGCUCCAAUUUCCAGUACAGACAAGCCAUUGACACCUCAAAUCCGCGCUAAUGGUGUUGAUAUUGCACAAUUCACUCGUCCAAGGCGGCUAAGGACAGAUGAAAUCCCUCAAAUUGUGAAUGAUUUCAGGCUUGCUGCAAGAAACGCAAUUGAGGCUGGUAAAUUCUUUUUUCUGAAAUUAAAAAUUGAAUUGUGGGCAAUAAGUGUUUUAAGGUCGCCACAGGAUGGGUGAUAUUUCAAUGGUCUACUUUUCUUGAGAUUAAGGAAAAUAGUAUAAAAGAAUAGUGAGAUUCUUCCAUUCCAUGCAUGGCUAUCAGAAGGAAAGGGAAACUAAACAUAAAUGCAUUAAUAGAUUUUUACUAGGCUUUUGUGGCUUGUAAAUAAUGUUGUUUUAUUGUACUGUAAGGUUUAUGUGAAAACAAUUAAGUUUCUUUACAAUUAUGCUUAUUGUCCCAUAGUUGUAUUUAUCAUAUUGAAUAAAGAAUUUGAAAACUUAAACCUUAACUUUGAGAGCCAACCUAGUAAAUGCUUAAAUACUUUUUCUUGUUCUUAAAAUGAAAGCUAGACCCUCCGUCUGUCUGUCCGCACAAUGCGAGCCUCAGAGCUUUCAGUUAUAUGAGAAGAGUUAGAUAAAUGGAGUGUUCAUGCUGUACAGGUUUUUGGUUUCUAACUUUGUCUUAUGCUGUAUAGGUUUCGAUGGCAUUGAGCUCCACGGUGCACAUGGCUACCUAAUUGACCAAUUUAUGAAGGAUCAAGUGAAUGAUCGAACAGACCAGUAUGGAGGAUCCUUAGAGAACCGUUGCCGUUUUGCUUUAGAAAUAGUUGAAGCUGUUUCCAAUGAAAUAGGGGCAGAUAGGGUUGGGAUAAGACUAUCUCCGUUUGCAAACUAUAUGGAAUCAGGNNNNNNNNNNNNNNNNNNNNNNNNNNNNNNNNNNNNNNNNNNNNNNNNNNNNNNNNNNNNNNNNNNNNNNNNNNNNNNNNNNNNNNNNNNNNNNNNNNNNNNNNNNNNNNNNNNNNNNNNNNNNNNNNNNNNNNNNNNNNNNNNNNNNNNNNNNNNNNNNNNNNNNNNNNNNNNNNNNNNNGCCCCCCUCAAUAAGUACAACAGAGAAACAUUCUAUGUUUCCGAUCCUGUUGUUGGUUACACGGAUUAUCCCUUUCUCGACACCUCUUCUUAUGUUACCAAGAAAAAGCAUUAGAUUGAUAAAGCAUUCUCUCAGAUUUAAUCUUGUUUUCUGAAUUUUUAUACAUGUACUGUGUUUAUGUAAAAGCCAAUAUAGGUUAUCUCAAUAAAAUUGUAUUGGCGUAAGGCCAAGCUCUAUACCUAUACGUUUCACAUACACUUCCUCUCUCAUUCCAAUUGAGACUGCAAUUCUCAAAAAUCACAAGGAUAAAAGAAAGACGAGGCAUUGUGGUAUCAAACUCAAAACCAUCCUUUCGUCUCAUAAAUUGGAAAACGAAUUAUCAUGGAGCAAUUCAUCACCAGCAUGUUUGAAUACGCACUUAGCUUUCCCUUCAGUUAAUUUCAAAAUACUUGCACUACUCCAAAUUGACAAAACAUAAAACAGGUCUUCACACGUGUGCAUACGGGCUUGGCCCAUUUCUCAGCCGUUUGAUGAAAACUAAAUAUAUAUAUUAUUUUGGAUUAAAAAUCAGUUAGUAGAAUUGAUUUGAAUUGGUCAAGGUUCGUAUCUAAAAUAAAUAUUUAAUCUAAAACUAUAAAAGAGUAAAACUAAACCUAAUUGUAUUCGAUUAACACCACACAUGUACAGAAUAACAAUGACACAUAUACUCUUUCUUUUAUAGUACUUUUUCUCUGAAAGGUACUAGAAUGAAAGGAGACUGAAGCCUAUUUUGGCUUUUUCAUUCGCUCACUAGUUGGGUGUUCUUUUACAAUUUUCCAUAGUACUUCUCGAAGGAAUUUGGGUGAUUGACUCCUUCUUUUAGCUUUUAUUUGCGGAUAAUAGAGGGUAGGUGGAUUCAGAGCUAAGUAUGGAUACAGAGGAUUUAUUGCGCAAGUGUCAGGCUGUCGUUCUAAAAGAAGAAGAAGCAGGCAUAGUAGCAUUCAUGGGGCAAAUGAGGAUUAAGGGAGAAGAAGUUGCUGCGAAUUGUCUAGUAGGGAAGGUGUUGCUUUCACGAAGCAUAAACUGGGAAGGCUUGAAAACAGCUAUGCAAACGGCUUGGAGAAUAGUGAAGGAGGUAAAAAUUAAAAGCAUGGGGGAUAAUAUUCUUCUCUUCAAGUUUGCUUCAGAAUAAGAAAAGAAAAGACUGCUUAUAGGAAGGCCAUGGCAUUUUGACAGAGCACUGAUAGUUUUGAUCGAACCAUCCGACAUUGGUGAUAUCAAAAAUCAAUUCUUUACGCAUACAACAUUUUGGGUGCAGAUCCAAAAUAUACUCAUAAUGUGCAUGAACAAGGAGGCAAUUGAAAAACUAGGUGAAAAGAUUAGUGAGGUCAAGAAAAUAGAGACAGACGAAGCUGGGGAUUGCAUAGGACAAUUUGCUCGAGUAAGAAUCUCCCUUGACAUUACUCAGCCAUUAAAAAAGAUUGUGUUUUUACAACAAGAUGAAGGAAAAAUUCCAAUGCCAAUCCUGUAUGAAAAGCUACCGGACUUUUGCUUUUGUUGCGCGCAUGUAGGUCAUCAGUACAGAGAGUGCCUGAGGUACAAAGGACAACAAAAGGAGGAUCUGCCUUACGGGGAUGGAUGAGAGCAGUCACUCAGGCUGAAAGGGUAAAACAAAAUCGAAGUAAAGGGAAAGGCAAUUGAGAACAAUUCCAUUCCAGAGCAAAUGAUUCAGCAACAACUAGCCUAAGGCCAUACCAGUCUCAAAACAACUCGGAUAGUCAAAAUGGGUCUUACCUGAUCGAAUCGGGUCCGGAGAUAGAUAAUGGUGAUGAACCAGUGGGUAAAAACAAGGAACCAAGAGCUGAUGGGCAGCAUCUAAUGUUGAGUGUAACAUAGCAGGAAAACCAGCAAGUGGUGCAUUAAAGCAGGGUGGUGACAUCAACAAGUUGCAGGACAGAGUGACUAGUAAUGAAAAUGAAAAUCUUGCAGGGUGGUGCCAAUCUAGAUAUGAACGCAAAAAAAGGCAGAAAAGAAGGAUUGGAGGGAAAAUGAAAAUCUUGUAGAAAAAGAUAAUGUGGGGAAGAUGGAAAAUAAAAUGGAGGAGGACACAUGGGGUGCCAGAUCAGAUGAAGAGGAUUUGGAUGAUGGGGCCAGCAAGGCCACCGUGAAAUCCAAAGGAAGAAAAUGGAAAUUACGGGCAAGAAACACCAAAGGAGAAGGAGCAAAUAAUAUUACUUUCAUAGGAAGUAAAAGACACAACAGUGAAGGUCAUGGGCCUAGCCCAGAGAGCAAAAAGAAGUGAGUGUCCAGUCCAAAAAAGCAACUGUAGGAAGGAAAACACAUAAGCCUAGCAAAAGCAUUAGGCAACUGCAACCAUUUUAGCCCCAACAAAGUAGCUCGCUAGCUGAAGCAAGCAGAAUAAGUGCUAGAUGCAGGGGAAAACUUGGAAGCAAUGGAUGAAGACCUAUUGGCGGGUACUGAUGAUCAGCCUCGCCGACAACCAUAAAGAUCCUCAGCUAGAACGUUCGAGGUCUGAGGAAGCCUCAAACGCACUUAGCAAUUAGAAAAGUUCUAUAACUGCACCGGCUCCAAAUACUAUUUUGUUGUGAAACUAAGAUGAUGGCUAGGUAGGUCAAUUUAAUUUACAGAAGUUUUAAUUUUGUAAAUUGUUUUGCUGUGGACAGAAAUGGUUUGGGUGGAGGCCUAGCUAUGCUCUGGGGAGCAGACAUUAAUGUCAAUAUCACCUCAUACAGGCCCCACCAUAUAGAUGCAAUAGUGAGUAGUGAAAGUGGCUUGGUUUGGAGAUGUGCGGGGAUUUAUGGCCACCUAGAGCUCAGCUAGAAGCGCAGUACAUGGACCCUUCUAAAAAGGUUAGCUAAUCUUUCGUCCCACCAUUGGUGUUGCUUUGGGGAUUUCAAUGAAGUGAUGCAUAUGUUUGAGAAAAAUGGGAGCAACGAGAAGAAUGUAAAUGUGGUUGUCGAGUUUAGAGAGGUUGUGGGCUGCAAGGGGUACCCGUAUACAUGGUCUAAUAAGAGAUUUGGUUCUAAUUACAUAGAAAAAUGGCUGGACAGAUUCUUGUGUAGUAAGGAUUGAGGCAACAAAUUUUAAGACUCUACAGCCAUAAACCUUGUUAAUUGGGUCUCAAAUCACUGCCCAAUAGUCUUAGAAUUCAAAUAGAGAUGCAAGAAGUCGAGGACUGUGAGCAGAUCGUUUCCCCGUGACCACUAUGAGGAUAUGUGGAGUUCUUACGAAGACUGUAGGAGCAUAGUAAAGGAUGAGUGGGGAAACUAUGGGGCUAGAGCUUGGGAGGAUCCUGCUCACCAAUUUCAGUGGAUAGCAAAAAAGUCUUUAGCUUAGCUUAAACUUUGGAGUAAAAACGAAUUUGAAGGAAGACAAAGAAAACAAGAAAAGUUGUUUCAGAGCCUUCAGAAUGCUAUGCAAGGAAGCUCUAAACUGACUGAUGGAGAGGAGAUCAGGAAGAUUGAAAGCUAUAUCAAUUCCAUGCUUAUUGACGAGGAGAUCUAUUGGAAGCAACGAUCGCGGGCUGACUGGCUAAGAGAAAGAGACAAAAACACUAAGUUUUUCCAUGCCAAGACUUCUGCCCGUAAAAAAAAGAAUAAGGUGUGGGGGGUAGAAAACUCUCAAGGCGUCUGGCUAAGGGAGAUAGAUGAUAUAGAAAAGGAAUUCUGCUGUUACUUUUAAGAACUCUUCACUACAUCCAACCCAACUCCAAGCCAAAUUCAAGCUGCUCUUCAAGGAAUGCCGACAAAAGUAACAUCAGAAAUGAAUGCCCAGCUGGAGAAGCCCUUCACUCCAAAGGAUAUAGAGGAGGCUAGGACAUAUGUGCCCCACAAAAGCCUCAGGUCCAAAUGGCUUAACUGCUGUAUUUUUUCAGAAGCAUUGGAAAUUAAUUCGCAAUAGAGUUGUUACAACAUGUCUUCAUAUCCUUAAUGAGCAAGGUAACCCGUCUCCUCUUAACCAUACUUUUAUCGCCUUGAUCCCUACAAUUGCUAAGCCUGGGAGAGUCUCUGAUUACAGGCCCAUAAGCCUUUGUAAUGUAAUUUAUAAAGUCGUAGUUAAGGCUAUUGCAAAUAGAAUGAAACUGAUCCUCUCCCAAAUCAUUUCUCCAAUGCAGAGUGCAUUUAUAACCAAUAAACUCAUUAUAGACAUCGUUAUUAUUGGUUAUGAAUGCCUCUAUAAGAUAAGACACUAUAAAUGGAAGAGGAACGAUCUUGUGGCUCUUAAGCUAGAUAUUAGUAAGGCGUAUGAUAGACUUGAGUGGUCUUUUUUUAAUCAAACAUUGUUAAGGCUGGGUUUCUCACCUAAUUGGGUGGAUUUGAUUAUGAGGUGUGUCUCUACUGCCUCACUCUCGGUGAUUAUUAAUGGUGUGCCAAAGGGAAUGAUUCAGCCGGAAAGAGGUCUGAGGCAGGGCUGCCCGCUAUCUCCAUAUCUCUUUAUCAUCUGUGCUGAGGCGUUCUCCAAUAUGCUGGUGAAGGCGGAAAAGAAUCAGCUAAUCCAAGGUCUGAAAUUUGCAAAAGAAGUCUCAAUUACCCACUUGCUAUUUGCGAAUGAUAACCUGGUUUUUUAUCGUGCUUCAGUGGCUGAUUGUAAGCAUCUGAAGGAGAUUUUCGACAACAAUCCAACUGCUAUUAAAGACAUUUUCAAGUUAAAUGUGGUCUCCAAGCAUGAAAAAUACUUAGGCCUCCCCUCAAUGAUAAGAAGAAAGAAGCUAAGCUUUUUCGAUGAAGUAAAGCUAAAAGUUUUAAACAAGAUCACAUGGUGGCAGCAGCUAAAAGUUUUAAACAAGAUCACAUGGUGGCAGCAUAAAAGGUUUUCGAGUGGGGGUAAGGAAAUCUUUAUUAAAGCGGCAGCCCAAGCUAUCCCAGCUUACGCAAUGAGUGUGUUCAAGCUUCCGAGAGGUCUUUGUGAUGACAUUCAACGGGCUAUAGCGAAGUUUUGGUGGGGAACGAAGGAAGUUAAGCAAGGUAUCCAUUGGUUAAAAUGGGAAAAGCUCAGCCAUGCAAAAAACAGAGGUGGGAUGGGAUUUCGGGAUUUUACUAGCUUUAACUAAGCCUUGGUGGCAAAGCAAGCUUGGAGGUUUUUGCAGUACCCAAAUUCUCUGGUCUCAAGAGUCCUUCAAGCAAGAUAUUACAAGAACUCCAGCUUUCUAGGUGCAUCAGUAGGGUCCAAUGCUUCAUUCAUCUGGAAAAGCAUUCUUUGGGGCAGAGAAGUAAUCAAGAAAGGUUUUAGAUGGCGGGUGGGCAAUGGCAAGAACAUAUAUGUUUACAAGGAUAAUUGGCUGCCAAGGCCGGAUACGUUCAAGCCAAUCGCCCCCCUACUUUGCGAGCAGACAUAGUGGUGGCAAACCUAAAUAAGGAAGAUAACCAUUGGGAUGAAGACAAUUUGAACUAACACUUUAUGAAAGUAGAUGCAGCAAUGAUUCUUAAGAUUCCUCUCCUAAAAGAACAUUUGGAUGAUGAUGUUUUAUGGCAUUAUGAUAAAAGGGGAGAAUACUCGGUCAAAAGUGGGUACCAGCUAGCCUUAAGAAUGAAAUUUCCAAAUGCUCCUAGUAGCUUAGAGAGCAUGUCUCAGUAUUGGAGUGCCCUUUGGUCCCUGGAGCUACCUGAAAAAAUAAAAAUAUUCAUGUGGAGGGCAUCAAACAAUUUGCUCCCAUCAACAGAAAAUAUGUGGAAAAGAAAAGUCAUUCAAGAGCCAACUUGUCAAAUAUGUAGAAAGAGCAUAGAAUCUAUAAGCCACGCCUUAUUGGAGUACAAGGCAGCAAAAUCGAUCUGGCUACAAUCUCCCUUUACAGUUCCAAGCUUUAAAGAUCAUUCUCAGGACAUUUUUAGCAUUUUGCAAGGAAUGGCCAAUGAGUUAAGGAAAGCUGAUUUGGAAUUAAUGGUAGCUUUGUGUUGGGCUGUAUGGUUUUCUAGAAACAAAUUUAUUUUCGAAGGCAAGAAGAUAGCCCUCAAUAUCUCAACUGCAAAGGCAAAGUCUAUUUUGGAUGCAUUUCAAAGAGUAAGGAAGACAUACCCCUCUCAUAUUGCCUACUCCAGUGGAGAGAAGCUGCAGAAGUGGAUUCCCCCCCCUCCCCGAAAAUGUCUUCAAAGUUAAUGUCGACGCUGCCAUUAAUGCCAAGGAUCAGACUACAUGAGUGAGAGUAGUCAUCAGAGGAACAAACGGCAAGGUAAUUGCAGCUGGCAUCAAUCAAUCUUCUCUAAAGGGAACGGUAAGUAAUGUAGAGGCCGAGGCUAUGUUAUGUGGAAUUCAAGUGUCGAGAGAAGCAAAUUUAGCCUCCUUGAUCAUUGAGUCAGAUUGCUUAGAGUUGGUCCAGUUAGUAAACAACACUAAGGGUAGCAAAACAAAAAAAUUUUGGACAAUUCUAGAGAUCCAAAAUUAGUUGAAGGAUUUUCAUAAAGUUUCAGUCCAUCAUACUCCAAGAUAAUGUAAUGCUUAUGCCCAUUCCUUAGUUAAGUUAGCUUUGGGGAGAAACUCUUCUUCUAUCUGGUUAGGAACUAUCCCAACUAAGAUUCAAGUUGUAUUUGAUGUAUUGUGAUUUGUGAAAGGUUUACUUUCUUUUUUUUUAAAAAAAAGCACCACACAUGUACUAAGCAUUCAUGCAUACCUACAAAUCAGUGGCAGCAUAGUAAUUGGCAUAGCAGUUUGCAUGACAAGAUACACAACACAGUAGACUCACCAGACAACACACACACAACAGUAGUCACUGACUCACCAACGCAACUGCAUGAAGCCAGGCCAUCGUGAGUCUAUGACAUGCUGACACAAUACACCAUGACCACUGCUGCAACUUGCUCCACCUUGAUCGAUAGCCAUUAAGUUCCUCCAACUUACUUUUUUCAAUGAACAUUACUAUACUAUAUAUAUUAUAUUAAAUAAUUAAUUUCCAAAUUUCUAUUACGUUUAUAACUUUUCAAGUUCAAUGAUUUUUGUAUGCUUAAUAAGACUACUCAGCAAGAAAAAGUCACAAUUUAUCCAUGAUUUUAGUUAGAAUUAGUAAUUUAGUGAAUAGGAGUAUAGAGAUCAUAUUUUUUAAUUUUAAUUUCAAUACAAAUCAAACCCUAUAAAUUUAUAUAAGAAAAUGUAUGUUAAAAUUUUAUUCCUAAAUAAUCAUCAUGUAAAAUUCCGUUUCAUUGUUUUUUGCUUAGAUUGAGACUAAUUAAUUUAUUAAUUGAAAUUGUAUUGUUAAUUAUUUUUAGCACAAUUAUCCUAGUCUUAUUAUUAUUUGUGAUUUUUAAAGGAAAAGCUAUUUAUCCCGAAUUUGCUCCUCGAAUCUGCGCCCCGAAAUCAAAACACACCGUUUACUUUUUUCUCUCUACACGUGUUGCUUCAUUUUGCCUUCACUUUCUACUUCCUUGCUUUCACUUUCCACUUCUCUAGUUAGGCCCGUAAAGCAAGGUAAACAUUUUGCUUUCACUUUCCAUUUCUCUUUCCAGUUAGCAGCACUCUUUUUCUUCAGGCCUGUAAAGCAAGGUAAACACCACUUCUCUAGUUAGGCCCGUAAAGCAAGGUAAACAUUUUGCUUUCACUUUCCAUUUCUCUUUCCAGUUAGCAGCACUCUUUUUCUUCAGGCAGAUUCGUUUGUUAAGUCAGGAGGAUUUCAUUCCAUUUUUGGUUUCAAAUCCACUCAACCACGCCACUUGCAUCUUAAUUCAAUCUCUUUUUUUCCCCUCUUCCCUCAACUCUUGAUCGAUGGUUCGUUCUCUUACUCUCGUUCAAUUUUCGUUAUUGUGUUUGAUGCAUGUAUCAUCAUCUGAUACAAAGAAGGAAAUAACAAAGAAUGAAAAAAAUAGCAAAGCAAAGUAAAAUUAGCAGACCACAGCUGGACACAACAAAUUUUCUAGUUAGGCCCACACGUUGACUGAAGAAACACGUGAAGAAACAACUUUGCUUUUGCUUUUUCUUUCCCCAGCUUUUUCCUUUCCUUUAUAUAAAGCAAGAUAAUGGACCCGUGAUUAACUCAGAGCAAACGGUGCGUUUUGAUUUCGGGGUGCAAAUUCGGGGUAAAUAGCAACACUCAUUUUUAAAUGUACUGAGGAUGUUUGAGAUUGUGAGUGUUGUGGUGAUAUUUUAAUAGUUUUAUGUUUUGAAUUAAUGAUGACUAUUCAUUUUUUUGUAUGUUCAAGUGACUAGACACUCAAGAUUAAAUUUCACAAUUGAUGAUGAGGAACAAAGUGAACAACUAAAAGGAAAUCAAAAAGGGAGGGAAAAGGCGAAGCAGGCGAAAAAUACAGCAAAUGAAAAAAAAGAUUUCUAAUGUGGAAUCAUCUCACUUUAUUUAAGGACAAUUCAAACAAAUGCUAGUGCAACUAUUGUGGUAAACACUAUCAAUGCCAUUCAAGGCAUGAGGAGAUUACCAAUCUGAGAAAUAAUAUAAAAAUUUAUAACAUAUACAAGACAUUCCAACAACAACAAGAUGAAAAUCAGCAGAAGUUGAUAGUUGAGGAUGGUGAAGGAAUUGCAAGUAACAUGGUUUUGGCUAAACGAUAGGAUGAGUGGAUGACAAGUGGUUCAAUUAUUUGUUUGAUACAUACAUGAAUGAUCUAUAUUCCAAGUUCCAACAGUUGCAUUCAAAUUCACCAAUAGCAAAAAAGAAAAGAAAAGAAAAGUAAAUCAAUAUCUUUGCAUAAAUUUGUAAUUUUUUAAUUUACUUUUUCUCUUCAAUUCUUCUCUAGGCGAUCCAUCCUCCAACUUCGAAUACAAGAAGUUGAAGUUAGAACUUGUCCAAAUAUUUACGUGAAGGAAGGUUAUUUAAUAUUUAUGUUUAGAUUUUGUUGUUUAAGAAACAAUUUAUUUUUAGACUUUGUAUUGGAAACUAUUUAAUUAUAUUUAAACUUUGUGAUCUUUGUGUUUUGAAGGCUAUUUAUAUUUGAAUAUCGUGCUUUGGGUGGAGGCUAUUAAAUUUAGAAUUUGUGUUUAUUUUAAUUUGUAUACAUUUGAUUUUAAUGGUAGUAGACUAGUAGUUUUCAUUUUUUUUUUAGAAUUGGUAAAAACAGACUAAAAUGAGAUAAUUAUAUGAAAAUAAUUUUCUAGUAACUACAUAAUUUGUAAAGAAAACUCAAAAUAUACAAAAUAAAAGCUCAAAAUUGCCCAUGACUCGAAUCGACCCAAGUCCAAUUUUAAACCGAACACAAUUCGAUCCGUUUAUAAUCCUAGCUCAGUCAACUUGAACUAAACCCGAACUUUUGAUCUAAUCCGAAUACAUACGGAUUAGAUUAGAUCAUAUUCCAGUUCGGAUUGAGUUUGAAUAACUUUUUUCUCAAUCCAACUAACUCGAAAUCCGAUUGGAUUGAUUCAAACCCAAUUGUGCCCACCCCUAUUCAAUAUGGAUGCAAUUGCAUUGUUGUGAUUCUUACGCAACACUUGUCGAACUACAUCAUUAUAUACAAUGUUAUGAACUACUUGGGUUAUAUUGGAAGAAAUAUGAACACGUGGAAAAAUCAGCAACCGCUGUCAUAAGUAUCCUAUUUUGGUAACUAGUACAAUAGAAUCACUUGCAAUCCAUUCUGCAGUUUCCCCAUUUUGGCAUAAAUUUCCCUACCAACAGUCAGGGAUGUCCACACAAGCUUGCUCGUUCUGUGCCAGGAUCCUUUGCAAAGUAAGAAACAUGUAGCUCCUUUUGAAGAAGUGAAAAAAAAAUCAUAUCUAAGAAAUAUAUGGGCUGAUGGAAAUAUAUAAUGAAGUAUCCGGGUUUCUAAGGGAAAUAUGAAUAAGAGAAUUAGGACUCAUUAUUUAUCUCGUUGGACAACUUGAAUUUAAUUCUGUUUCACUUUCAUUUUUGUUUCUCGUAAAUAUUUAUCUUGAUUUAUAGAUAUGGCCUUUGCAUAUACAAAUGAAUUAAAUACCUGAUAAAAAAAGAUACAUCAUUAAUCAUCCACAUAAAUUUUAAGAAAACUUGAUUUUUCGAUGAUUAUGUACCUGUGUUUCUAAGGGCACUAUCACAUAUUUUUGUCAAAGAAAUACCAAUAAGCAAACAUACCUAACACCUAGUGUUAUAUACAAAUGAAGACCCUUCAAUAUAUAAUUAUUGCAAUAUGGCAAAAUUUUAUAAAAUAAAAUUUAUAUAUAUGAUUAUUUCUGAAGAUAGCCAGCUCACCAUUACUUGUUUCGUUCAUGCUUUCAUUCGAAUGCAAAUCCUUAAAAAAAAGGAUGUGAAUUAGAGUAACUUGAUUUCUUAAAAAAAUUAUGAAUAUCCUUUAGCAUAAUACACUCUUUUGUAAUUUUAACUUACAUUAUUUGCAGCAAGUUAGAGCAACCUUUAUUUGCGUGCACAUUACUGAAAUGUUAAAUUGAACUUGUGUACAAGCACAGUAAGUUGCAUACAUUUGUCAAGUACUUUCCAAUUAUGGUCUAGUUUGGGGUUUGAGGUUGAGCAACUGUAACUUAAAAGCUAGUAAGCACUAGCUGUUGUAACUUAGAAACUAAGUUAAUUUGAUUUUAUACUUGUAUGAUAAAAAAAUUUAUUAUAUAUAUUUACUAAUUUUGUUAAAAAAAAUUUUUAAAUUUUUUUUUACUACAUAUUACUAAGACCAUUCAUACAACAACUAUAAUUUAAAAGUUGGAACACCUUAAUAUGAAAUAAGACCUAUAUGAGUUUCUGAUUCGAUUAAGACCAUUUUUGCAUGAAGUGAAAUCCAAAGCAAGCUACCUAUAGCAUCUUUCACGGCAACACUUAUACCUCCAAAACAAGUUAUGAUAAUACUCAAAUGCUUGAUUACAAGUGGGAAAGGUUGGAUUUGCCAUGACUACUUUUGGAACACUCAAAUUCUUCAUAAAAGUAAAACUAAUAAAAUGAAAUUUUUUCGAUGUUGAGAGGGCAAAGAAUGGCAAGAAGAGACAUAUAUUUCCAUUGAAACUUUGCAAAUUCAAUGUCUUUUAGAUUGAGUGUCUUUUAUUUAAAAUUAUCAAGGAAGUUAAAAAUCGAGGGAGUUCAUUUAAGAGAGUGGGUGAGAGUGAGUAAAACUCCGAGAUUCAAACACAGGGUAGUUAGCAGGUAAAGAGCAAACUUGUUGUUCGUCAUCUAUGGACACAGAUGAGUUAAUAUGUAAAUGCAAAGCUAUUUUUAUAUGAGAUGGCAGUGAACGAAAGCUAUCAAUUAGAAGCGGAAUGCAAGGAAAAAGAGGACGUAUAAUGGAAAAUUCUCUAGUUGGAAAAAUUCUAUUGGCAAAGAGUGUCCACACGGAUGUGAUCAAAACUGCAUUAACACAAGCAUGGAAAACAACAAAAAAGGUGAAGAUUGAGAGCAUGAGAAACAAUAUUUUUCGGUUCAAAUUUGGGUUAGAAGUUGAUAAACAGAAAAUAAUGGCAGGAGAGCCAUGUCAUUUCGAUAGGGCUUUGAUUGUGUUGAAAGAACCCAGUGGAAUAGGAAACAUGAGAAAGGAAGAAUUCACGCAUACACUUUUUUGGGUAUGAAUUCACAAUAUACCCAUUGUUUGCAUAGAGAGAGACAAUGUUCAAAAGCUGGGAGGACUGAUUGGAGAGGUGUUGGAAGUUGAAAAUGAUGAUGACAGGGAGUGUAUUGGUUUGUAUGCAAGAGUCAGAAUAUCCAUUGACAUCACAAAGCCAUUACAGAAAAUGGUUGGAGCUAGAAGAAGAUGAUAAGGUGGAGUUGCCAGUAUUGUAUGAACGGCUCCCAGAUUUCUGCUUUUGCUGGGGUACCGUUUGGUACCAAUUUAAAGAGUGUGAAUCAUACAUGGGGCAACCAAAAAAAAAAAUUACCCUAUGGAGUGUACAUGAAGGCAUUGUCCAAAGUUGAAAAAACUAGGAUGAACAUGGGAAAAGAUAGAUGGAAUAAAAGGUUUGAGCAGCUCAAAAACGAACCAAAGGAAGCAGAACACCAUGGGAGAAGACAGGCAAAACAAAUUGGUUUAGACCCGUAUAAACAUGAACUCGAGUCAAACUAAUCUAUUUCGGGGAGAUCAUGAUAGUUAAACAAGGAAAAUUGGGGAGUAAUUAAUACAAAUGACUCUAGAACCAAGAAAUCAGAAAGACACGGUCAAAAGUAACCUAACAUGGCUGAUACCGAAAAUACAGCCGACAACUUAAACAAUCAUGGAAAAAAGAGAGAAAAAGUGGGAACAGAGAAUUGAGAGGGAAUAAAGUUAAAUUUGGUGCUAAAUUUGAAGCCAAAAUUAACUCUAAAUACAAGCCCAAAAAAAUAUCAAAGCAACUCAAGCCCAGAGAAGUAGUAUGUGAUGGACCGAAAACAAAAAAUGCUAGGCCUAAGAGAAAGAAGUGAAAGCUGCCAGCUAGAAGUGUAAGUAGCAAAGGACACACAAAAGAAGGGCUAAUUGUGGGAAAAAGACUAGGUUGUGGAGUAAUAAGGUCAAGCCCAAAUCAUAAAAAAAAAAAACCCAAAUCCUAAGCCCACAGAAAAACUCAAUAGUUAGAGAAAGCUCCUGCAAUACAUCUCCUCUUAGCUAUAAGCUCAACUGGGUUGUUUCAAGAAUGGAGAAAAUGUUAAAAACACAAACAAUGCAACUCAAUCGGCGGAGGCAGAACACCAACCCUGCCGACAGCUAUGAGGAUUCUAAGCUGGAAUGUCCAGGGGAUGGGGAAUGACCGGACGUUCAUAGUUCUCCAAAAAUUCCUCACAUGGUAUACGCCUCAAUUAAUGUUUCUAUGUGAAACUAAAUUGACAUCUGUACACAUGGAAAAUGUUGGCAAGAAGCUGAAGUUUGAAAAUUAUUUUUGGGUUAGUAGAGGUGGUAAGAAUGGGGGUCUAGCUAUGCUUUGGAAUUCAGCAACAAGGGUAGAUAUUACCUCUUUCAGUAAACACCGCAUAAAUACUGAGGUAGAACUGAAAGUGGGAAGUAGAUGAGAUGCACUAGAAUCUACGGGCACCUAGAAACGAGUCAGAAAAAACACACCUGGGCUUUAUUAAGGAGAUUAACAGGUUUAUCUUCACCCCUUUAGUUAUGCUUUGGCAAUUUCAAUGAGAUAAUGCACUUAGAUGAAAAAAAUGGAGGAAAAGACAUGGAGGUUCAUAUGAUUAAAGAGUUUCGAGAUGAUAUUCAGGAUUACAAUUUGAAAGAUUUGGGUUAUACAAGCCACCCUUUUACAGGUCUAAUAGGAGAUUUGGUAGCCACUUUGUUGAAAAACGUCUAGAUAGAUUUUUAUGUAGUAAUGAUUGGACAAAUUCUUUCCAAAACCAAGCUGCAAAAAAAUCUGAUUAUAUGGUGCUCAGACCACAAUUCGAUUUUGAUGGAAGUGAUAAGCAGAGCCAAUAGAAAGCCAUAUAAUAAAAGAACCUUUUCAAGAACCCAUUAUGAAGACAUGUGGAGCAACUAUGAUGAGUGUAAGAACAUUGUAAAGGAAGAAUCAGCCAAAGACUGGUAAGGGGAUAAUGCAAUGCAGUUUUUUAAACAAGCCAGUAAAUCUUCACUAACUGAAUUAAUACACUGGAGUAAGAAAACUUUUAAAGGAAGCAAGAAGAAAUUAGAGAAGCUGAUGAAUAAAAUAUAAGAGCUCCAGUAGGAAAGACAGUGGGAUAGGGGUGAAGAAUUGAUAAGCAUUGAGAGGCGGAUCCAUAACCUCCUUUUAGAUGAAGAGAUCUUUUGGAAACAGAGAGAGGUUUAGGGCUGAUUGAUUAAGGGAGGGAGAUAAAAACACCAAAUUCUUCCACUCAAAAGCUUCAUUUAAAAAAGAGGAAGAACAAAAUUCGAGGAGUUGAAGAUGCAUAGGGAAAAUGGGUAGAAGAAAAUAAAGAUAUUGAGAAAGAGUUCUGCGGUUACUUUGCAGAGUUAUUUUCAACUUCCAACCCUACUUAAGAUCAAAUAGAGUGUGCUUUGAAAGAAAUGGUCUCAAAAGUUUUAGCUUAAAUGAAUGAGUAUCUGACUCAACCAUAUACAGAGGAAAAGAUAAUGGAGGCUCUAAAUCAAAUGUGUCUAACCAAGACACUAGGCCCUGAUGGGCUACCGGCUGCCUUUUAUUUGAAGCACUGGCCAUUAGUUAACAUCACCACAUGUCUUCACAUCCUCAAUGAAGCAAGUAACAUUGCUCCUUUGAACCACGCAUACAUUGCUUUAAUUGCCAAUAAUGCAAAGCUUAGGAAAGUGACUGAAUUUAGACCAAUAAAUCUUUGUAAUUUCAUUUAUAGGAUUGUUGUAAAACUAUUGCAAAUAGAUUGAAAACUAUCCUACAUGUUGUAAUUAAGUCUUCGUAGAGUGGUUCUAUCCCCAACAGAUUGAUAAUGGAUAAUAUCAUUGUUGAGUAUGAAUGCCACCAUAAGAUUAGGCAUAACAAAGGAAAAAAAAAAUGGCUUGGUGGCUCUGAAGUUAGAUAUCAACAAAGCUUAUGAUAGGGCAUAGUGGGAUUUUUUAAAGGAGACAAUGAUCAUAUUAGGUUUUGCUAAGAAGUUGAUAAAUUUAAUUAUGAAUUGCAUUACUACGUCAUACUUUUCUAUAAUCAUAAAUGGAAUACCAAAUGGCAAGAUUAUUCCUAAAAGGGGCUUGAGGCAGGGAUGCCCUUUAUCUCCUUAUCUGUUUAUAAUAUAUGCAGAUGCUCUUUCAAAUUUGUUGAUUCAGGCUGAGAAAAGCAAGUUAAUACAUGGGUUGAAAUUUGGACAACAUAUCUCUAUUUCUCACCUCUUAUUUGCAUAUGACAGCCUAAUUUUUUUUCCAAAGCCUCAAUUAAAGAUUUCCAGCAUUUAAAAGGUUUGUUCGAUUGCUAUGCCACUGCCUCUGGCCAAAUUUUUAAUUUUGAAAAGUCAUGCAUGUUCUUCAGCGACAGUGUCUGUGCAAACCAAAUUUCGGCCAUUAAAAGAAUAUUUCAGCUCAAUGUGGUAACGAAGCAUAAGAAGUACUUGGGGUUGCCCUCAAUGAUAAGGAGGAAAAAGAAAAUUUUCUUCAAUAAGAUUAAGCUAAAAGUCUAGAGCAAGAUCUCUAGUUGGCAACAGAAACUUUUCUCGAGUUGAGGAAAAGAUGUCCUGAUAAAAGUAGUGGCACAACCAGCUUAUGCAAUGAGUGUCUUCAAGAUACCUAUUGGUCUGUGUGAUGAUAUUUAGUGAGCAAUAAAAAGAAGGAAAAAAAGGGGCAUCGUUUGGAUCAGAGGGGAGAAGAUGAGUCAAGCUAAAAUUUGAGGGGGAAUGGGCUUUAGAGACAUAUCAAGUUUUAACCAAGUCAUGGUAGCUAAGCAAGGAUAGAGAUUGAUUCAAAAUCCAGAUUCCCUUGCAGCUACUGUUUUAAAGGCUAGGUAUUUUCAAGAAGACUGAUUUUCUAAAUGCUUCAAUGGGGCCAAACCCAUCUUAUAUUUAGAGAAGCUUACUUUGGGGUCGACAAGUAAUUCUUAAUGGAUAUAGAUAGAGAAUUGGUAAUGGGUAAAACAUCUUAGCCUACAAAGGAAAUUGGAUUCCAAGACCAUCCACUUUUUCAAACCGUUUCCUAGUCCAAGGAUGCCUUUCGAUGCUAUUGUUUCAGAGUUGAUAGACAAUGAAAGCAGAUGGAAGACUGACUUGAUCCAAAAGAUGUUUUUAAAGGAAGAUGUAGAUGCAAUUCUCAGCAUUCCUUUGCCAAAAGGACAAAGCAAAGGACAAGCCAUCUGGCAUUACGACAGAAAGGGGAAAUACUCGGUCAAUAGUGGAUACCAAGUGGCUAUACAUAUGAAAUUUUUGAAUUCACCAAAUUGCUCCAACAGUAAAGGCAGAAAUUGGAAUAUCAUAUAGACCCUUACCAUCCUAAAAAAGAUUAAGAUUUUCAUUUGGAAAGUAAUUAAAAACUUACUACCGACAGCUGAUAAUUUGUGGAAGCGUAGAAUUAUUCAGGAAGGUCACUGCAAGCAUUGUAGAAAUAGAGUGGAAAAUACUAUGCACGCCAUGGUCACUUGCAAAGCAGCAAGAAAGGUUUGGCAGCUUUCAUCAAUGGUGAAUGCAAUUCAAUAGAUGAGAAAUGCAAACCUCUUGGGGGAUUUGAUGAUGCUUCAGAAGAAAUUAAGUAAAGCUGAACUUGAGCUUGUGGCGUCAAUGUGGUGGGUGAUUUGGCAUGCUCAGAAUAAAUUUGUAUUUGAAGGUGUAAAGUUGGAUCAAGGAUUGCAAAUGGCCAAAGCUGAAGUAGUCAAUGAAGUUUUUAGAAGAACAAAAUUUCCGGAGAUGUUGAAUCUAGGAAAAAUGCAGAAGGAAAAACCAAAAUCUUGGACCCUUCCACCCGAUGGAUGGCUAAAGAUAAAUGUUAAUGCAACUACUGACACCAAAAGACAAUGCUCGGGAUUGGGAGCAAUAAUCAUAGACUCCACUGGAAAGUGCUUAGCUGCAGCUAUAAAAACCUCAAGGUUUAGGAGAGAUGUAACAUAUGUGGAAGUAGAAGCAGCUGAGUAGGGCAUCAAAAUAGCACAUGAAGCAGGUCUACAGUCAGUUAUCCUAGAAACUAAUUCUCAUGAAGUACCAGAAUUGAUAAACAACAGAGAAGGCAGCCUAACAGAAAUAUAUUUGGUCAUUGCGGAAAUUCAAGACUUAAAGAAGAAUUUCAAAGCCUUUAAAGCACAAUAUGUCCCUAUUAUUAUUUUUUUGUAUUUUGUCUAAGUGAACAUUCAAACAUAAUUUAUUUUUAAAUUUCAAAAUUCUUUACUUUUAUAUGAUAUAUAUCAUAAUAAUUCAAAAAAGAAAAUUGUAUGUAUUCUAUCUCUAAAAUAAAUUAAAAAAAAAUUACAAACUAUUAAGAUAUAAUAAAUUAUUAUUAUUAUUAUUUUACUGAUGAUGAUAAUGACAACUACGACGACCAUGAUGAUGAUAUACGAAUAAAUAUUUGCUUUAAUAUUUUUUUUAAAAAUAUUUGUUAAGUAUAAAACUCUACUCAAGUCGAAUAAAUAUAUGCUUCAAUACACUUGAGAUAUGGCUAAAUGUCAAAAACAACCACAAACAUGAAAAACUGGAUGCAAUAGUCCUUUCGUUUGCAAAAUGUUCGAUAGAACCUUUUGUCUUAAUUCGACAAAAAUAUAAAAUAAAUUAGGAUUACGAGGUGGUUAAAAGACUACGAAUACAUUAAUCUUUUAUUAAAAAUUAUAAAUACGUUAAUCUUUUAUUAAAAAAUCAUAAAGACCCACAAUAUAUAGUACUCCGAUGCUAUUAUUUUUAUAGUGAGUGGUCUAAUGGUUAUAAUUCCAACUUCUUAUGGUUAAAUUUGUAAUUUCCUGGAUAACUUUGUCGGUUCAUUUGAUGACAAAGAUGAACUUGGACAUGUUUUCGUUUCAAUUAAGAGGGAUGCAUCAUUUUCUUUAAUAGUUUAUAAUAUUGAUUAUUGACCAUGGGGUGGUUUCUUUCUUUCUUUUAUCUUUUUUUUUUUUUAAUUUAGCAUUGACGUGUAGAACUUUAAUAUAUAGCAUGGGGUGGUUUCUUUCUUUCUUUUAUCUAAUAGUUUAUAAUAUUGAUUAUUGACCAUGGGGUGGUUUCUUUCUUUCUUUUAUCUUUUUUUUUUUUUAAUUUAGCAUUGACGUGUAGAACUUUAAUAUAUAGGUUCUGUAAUGGAAAAGAUUAUAAGAAAGACGACUCGUUAGUGUAAAAAUAGAAAUACUUGCGACUUAAAAGUUAAAACUAUAGAAUUCAUCAAUAAUGAAAUUUUAGUCAUGUAGUAUUUGUAAUAUAUCUUUAACAUAGAUAACUUUACAAUCUAAAAAGAACUCAUUUUUCUAUUUUAAUGUUUUGUAAUGUCUUCACUGAGAUUCGCAGCUGAAAAUAUACGCUUGUUGAAAAAUCUUAUAAAUAAGUAAAACAGAAACUAUAUAUUAUGAUGAGCAAAAAGGUUUGAUAAAUUUAUAAUAAAAUCUAAUUACCUUGAUUGAGAUAAUAACUAUGGAAAAUAGACCACUAGUGAAAGGGACAAGGUAGCACUUUUACUGGGCGAAGGAAAUUUGGGAAAGCGGAAAGCGACUAAUUAAAAAAUUAUAACAAAAACUUUCCAUGUGGAGUAAUUUUUUUUAUAAUUAUUUUAGGGAAAUAAUAAAAAAUUUCCUAAUAAAGAAGAGAUCCCUUCAACUAAUUUCAAUAUUUUGAGUCUUGACAAAGACAGAUCACUUCCGUUUGAGUACAUUAUAGAUUAAUUUGUCAUUGCUGAAGUCACUCCAAUUAUAUGAUGUUUUGAUAUUCUUAAUUAAAACCAAUUUCAUGUUUCUUUAAAUAUAAUUUUUAAUUCUAUUUUACUUUCUUUGUUGGUACUACUUGAUUUUUAAAUCAUUUAAUUAUACAUAUUUUUUAGGCACCCUAAACUUUCAUUCCAUUAAAUAGAAUUAUUACAAUCAAUCAGUACAAUCAGCACAAUAACUUAGGGUUAUUCUACUAAUAAUGUAACUUUUAAAAUACUAUGCGUUUUAAAAAGUAUUAUGGGUUUUAAAAAUAAUUGUAUGUGUGCUAAGUUUUAUUGCUAAAUUGCUAUAAGAAUGUAAACGAUUGAACUAGACUUAAUGUUAAAUUGAUUUUGUUUGCUUAACCCUACUUGAAGUUAUAUUGGUUUGCAUUUGUCCACCACCAUGUUGUUGUGAAAUGAUAAUUUUACCCUUAUGAUGUUAGCAAAGUUCUAACGGUGUUAUAACGAAAGUGGACCAAUGAAAAAAAAUAUUAACUUCAAGUGGAGCGCUGUAAAAAAAAAAAAAAGAUUUGCGUAUUUUUAAAAAAUGGUGAAAAAACGGAUGGACGGUGGAUAAUUUCCCUUCUGGAUAAUUAUGAAUGAGAAUAAUAAUAGGGAGAUAUCUAAAAAUUAGGCUUUCUUAUAUAUGCAACUUAAAUAACAUCUUUAACUAUUAACUUUUAAAAAUUAUUUUUAAACUUCUCAACAAUAAUUCCAAACAGCCCUUAGAAUCUCAUUAUUAAAAAUAAAAGCAUAUUGGUUAGUUGUUCAAAGACAGGCAACAGCAGCCGGCUACGUACUUGCAAACGUCACGUGCCAGCUAUUAAAAGCAUUUUAAACAUAUGUGAACAUUGAAUCCAAUGGCAAUGGAGACUGAUUCGCCCCUCGUGGAAUUUUUUUAUAUUCCAAAACGGUCGACCCAUUCCGAUCUAUAAAUACCCAAUUGAACCCUUCCGUUUCUUUAAUCAUUUUAUUUUCAGUCGCGUUAAGGAUUCUCAAUUUGCUUGUAAUUCUACUAAACAUGGGAAGCAGAGCAGAGGAGACUAAGCAAAAUCAAGAAGAGAACAACGGUAACAUGGCCAUUGAAACUCCCAUCAUCCCUCUUCUCACUCCUUACAAUAUGGGCAGUCUCAAUCUUUCUGAUAGGUACCGAUUGUACCCACCUUUUAUUUCAUUGAGUUUUUUAUUUUUAUUUUUUUGGAUUUACAUUUUCUUUCGCUGUAUGGAUUUUUGUAUGGCGUUAACUUUAUUGACGAAAGUGAUAUCUGCCAAAGUACAUUUGAGUGGCGAGCAUUCACAUCAUGAGCACUCAGAUUCUCACUGUUUAUCCAGGGCUCAGCGCAAACGCAGUGGACCACUGAAUCCUUGUCCAUUUAGAAUGAAUGGAUUAGUGAAUAUUUGGAAUGGAUUAGGAAAUAUUUGGGAUUUAGUUACUGUGGUUUUUAAUUCACAGUCUCUAUGUGGAGUGAAUCAGUAGCUAUCGAGUAAAACUGUUGGUGUUUACGGAACACUUUUUAACUGUCCUUUUUUGGUAAUUAAGCAGAAGCACGCCCGGUUAUUAACUUAUAAUACCCUUAACUGAUUUGAAUGUAUGAUCUGAUUUAGUUUCUGUAUCUUCUUUGUAUUUGUUCGUUUGGUCUAUGAUCUGACUGAGAGUGUUACAGAGGCAGUUUAAGUGUAAUGUUGCAAUUUUAUGGGUUUUUUUCUUUUGAGUUUGAGUUAUUGGUGAUGGGGCUAAUUGAAUUGCGGCUUGCUUGUUUUGUUUAUUUCAGAGUUGUUUUGGCACCACUGACUAGACAGAGAUCAUACAACAAUGUUCCUCAGCCACAUGCCAUUUUGUAUUACUCUCAAAGAACCACCAAAGGGGGUUUGCUUAUAGCCGAAGCCACUGGAGUUUCCGACACUGCUCAAGGGUAAUUUUACAUCCGUUUAACUGUUUUAAGAGUUUUUUGAGGCAUUAAAUGGAUAAGAAAUUGUAUGUUUGAGUUUCGAAAGCAUUACCUGUAUUUAGUUGCUUGAAAAUCUUGUGUGUUCUGUUGUUUCUUUUAUUGUAAGGUAUCCAGAUACGCCUGGUAUCUGGACAAAGGAGCAAGUUGAAGCAUGGAAACCGAUUGUAGAUGCUGUUCAUGCCAAAGGUGGGACCUUCUUUUGUCAGAUUUGGCACGUUGGCAGGGUUUCAAAUCAAGGUGUGUUCUAUAUCUCUCUCUUCUAUUGACAGUUACUGGUUACUUAGUUAUCAGGAUCAUACAUACAUUUUAUUUCUGAUAAUAAGAUAAGGUACCGUGAACUUAAGCUAUUGAAUUGCAGUAACUUACAGUAAUCUAACAUGAGGCAAGUGUUGAGAGAAUAAGCAGCGCGGAUUAAUCAAAUGCUCAAAUUGAGUACUGAUCAUCCUACAGAUGCACCAUCCUUUUGCAUUUUAUUUUCAGUUAAUAAAAUGAUAUUCAAUAGUUUUUUUGCAACCUCCAUGUGAUGGAUCUGACUGAUUUUAUAGAAAUUUGAGAAUCAUUUCAACUGGAUCUUCAUUGGUUUUUCCUGUCGUCGAACUGUACAGAUUAUCAGCCAAAUGGUCAAGCUCCAAUUUCCUGUACAGACAAGCCAUUGACACCUCAAAUCCGCACUAAUGGUGUUGAUAUUGCACAAUUCACUCCUCCAAGGCGGCUAACGACAGAUGAAAUCCCUCAAAUUGUGAAUGAUUUCAGGCUUGCUGCAAGAAAUGCAAUUGAGGCUGGUAAAUUUUUUUUUCUGAAAUUAAAAAUUGAAUUGUGGGCAAUAAGUGUUCUAAGGUCGCCACAGGAUGGGUGAUAUUUCACUGGUCUACUUUUCUUGAGAUUAAGGAUAAUAGUAUAAAAGAAUAGUGAGAUUCUUCCAUUCCAUGCAUGGCUAUCAGAAGGAAAGGAAAACUAAACAUAAAUGCAUUAAUAGAUUUUUACUAGGCUUUUGUGGCUUGUAAAUACUGUUGUUUUAUUGUACUGUAAGGUUUAUGUGAAAACAGUUAAGUUUCUUUACAAUUAUGCUUAUUGUCCCAUAGUUGUAUUUAUCAUAUUGAAUAAAGAAUUUGAAAACUUAAACCUUACCUAAAUGUGUCAUUAAUGUAAAUGGAGUCAUUACAAUAGUCAGAUUAUUUGGAAUGGGUUCUAGAAUCUUACAUGUGACUCCUUUUGUCAUCUAAAAUGAUGGUUGAGACUUUGUUUUUUAUGAUCUUAUCAACUGUUUUGUUGUUAGUUAAAAUAGGGAUUGAGUACCUGCAACUCUGAGUAGUUUUGUAGUUUUCUGCCUGCAUCUCUGAGACAUCACAAAACUGCCUUGGAUUAACUUUGAGAGCCAACCUAGUAAAUGCUUAAAGACUUUUUCUUGUUCUUAAAAUGAAAGCUAGACCCUCCGUCUGUCUGUCCGCACAAUGCGAGCCUCAGAGCUUUUAGUUAUAUGAGAAGAGUUAGAUAAAUGGAGUGUUCAUGCUGUACAGGUUUUUGGUUUCUAACUUUGUCUUAUGCUGUAUAGGUUUCGAUGGCAUUGAGCUCCACGGUGCACAUGGCUUCCUAAUUGACCAAUUUAUG
rnacentral:lncRNA from 1 species